rnacentral:rRNA from 1 species
CCACUUACAGAUGGACCCGCGGCGCAUUAGCUAGUUGGUGAGGUAUAAGGCUCACCAAGGCAACGAUGCGUAGCCGACCUGAGAGGGUGAUCGGCCACACUGGGACUGAGACACGGCCCAGACUCCUACGGGAGGCAGCAGUAGGGAAUCUUCCGCAAUGGACGAAAGUCUGACGGAGC